GCCAGUAUGGUGCAGUGGUUUGAGCAUUGGACUACAACUCUAGAGACUACAGUUCAAAUCUCCACUCAGCCA